AGAAUCAACGCUGGCGGCGUGCCUAACACAUGCAAGUCGGAACGAGAACGGGUAGCAAUACCUUAGUAAAGUGGCGCACGGGUGAGUAACACGUGACUAACCUACCCUGGAGUGGGGGAUAACUGAGAGAAAUCUUAGCUAAUACCGGCAUUAACACCUACGGGUCAAAGGAGCAAUUCGCUUCAGGAGGGGGUCGCGGCAGGAUUAGAUAGUUGGCGGGGUAAUGGCCCACCAAGUCAGUGAUCUGUA
rnacentral:rRNA from 1 species